rnacentral:snRNA from 1 species
GACAGCAGGACGGUGGUCAUGG